CAAUAGCGUAUAUUAAAGUUGUUGCGGUUAAAAAGCUCGUAGUUGGAUUUCUGUUGAUAACGGCCGGUCCGCACUAUGUGCGUGUAUCAGGUUCGGUGUCGGCAUCCUCGUGGGGAUCGUUUCUGUGCUUGAUUGCAUGGGGCGGAAUUCACGACUUUUACUUUGAGGAAAUUAGAGUGUUCACGGCAAGCUAUCGCUUUGAAUACAUUAGCAUGGAAUAAUGAUAUAGGGCGUAAGUUCUAUUUUGUUGGUUUCUAGGACGUACGCAUGAUUAAUAGGGAGUAAUUAGGGGGUCGAUCGUAUUAACGACGUCAGAGGUGGAAGUUCUUAGUAUUGUCGUUACGUACGAACUACUGCGAAAGACAUUUGUCCAACGGAAGUGUUUUUCUAUUGUAUCAAGAACGAAAGUAAUGGGAGUCGAAGACGAUCAGAUACCGU
rnacentral:rRNA from 1 species